GAGACUUCCAAAACUUAUAAAUCAGAAAUAAUGAGAAACUCAUGGUUUUCCCCCUUCUAGCUGAUUUUUUAAAAAUGAAAACGAAUGCCUCAGCGCUCACAUCUGCGGAGGAGCCUCCUGUCACAACACCCUGGGGAGCUACAAGUGCAUGUGUCCCGCCGGCUUCCAGUAUGAACAGUUCAGUGGAGGAUGCCAAGACAUCAAUGAAUGUGGCUCUGCGCAGGCCCCCUGCAGCUAUGGCUGUUCCAAUACCGAGGGCGGUUACCUGUGUGGCUGUCCACCUGGUUACUUCCGCAUAGGCCAAGGGCACUGUGUUUCUGGAAUGGGCAUGGGCCGAGGAAACCCAGAGCCACCUGUCAGUGGUGAAAUGGAUGACAAUUCACUCUCCCCAGAGGCUUGUUACGAGUGUAAGAUCAAUGGCUACCCCAAACGGGGCAGGAAACGGAGAAGCACAAACGAAACUGAUGCCUCCAAUAUCGAGGAUCAGUCUGAGACAGAAGCCAAUGUGAGUCUUGCAAGUUGGGAUGUUGAGAAGACAGCCAUCUUUGCUUUCAAUAUUUCCCACGUCAGUAACAAGGUUCGAAUCCUAGAACUCCUUCCAGCUCUUACAACUCUGACGAAUCACAACAGAUACUUGAUCGAAUCUGGAAAUGAAGAUGG
rnacentral:sRNA from 1 species